rnacentral:lncRNA from 1 species
GAGUUGGAGAUGUUUGGCUGGAUGUGUAUAAGUUGCCCAAGGAGUCUUGGCUCAAGGAAGUGGAGCAUCCUCAAGUCACUUCAAAUGCAAAGAAAAAAGCCAGACAGACGCAACUGAACUCUGUCGAUCCCACUCCUAUAGAUAACUUAGAAAUGGUAA